ensembl:lncRNA
UUCCAAUCUUUUAAAUAAAUAUGAUUAGCAAAGGGAGUAUCACACAUUGACCUGGAUGCAGUAGCAGGAAGAAUAUCCUCAGGUUCUUCAGCUCUCUUUACACAAAUAGGCAUUAUCCCAAAAUGAGUAAUGCUAGGAAAUAUGUAAAUAAGUUCCAAUUUACAGUUGGUUGUUCUUCCCUUUCACUCCAAUUUUUUUUGUAUUUAUCAAUAACUCAGGUAUUUUAUUUUUAAGAACAUAGGCAAAUACCUCUAACCUUUCUCAGGCCAUUCAAGAUUAAGCAAGGUUUGGGGUUCAAAUGGUCUGGGUGACCACUUAACUCAUGUGACCUUUUUGCUAUUAAUGUUUUCCAGAAAAACAACAACAGAAUCAUUAUGACUACUAAGAAUACAUUUUAAAAAAUUAACAUGACAUCUUGGAUCUUAUAAGAGUCAAGCUCUUCAGGAAAUAAACCAUGAGAGACUUUGUUCAUCCCUGCUUUAAGCUAUGGAUAGCAACCUGCACGGAUAAAAAGUGUGAAAAGAAUAAAGAACUUAAAAAAAAAAUAACCUGCAGAUUAUGGAGCAAUAUAUUUUUGUUGACUACAGAUCCGCAAAGAUUUUCAGCUGAGCUGGAAAGCCUAUUGAGCUUGAAAUGGCUAUCCUUACAGCAGAGUAGAUUUUUUUUGUGAUGGUUAGUAGCAUGUAUUCUGAAUAGUGAAGAAUGACAUGUAGAAUUCAACUUGUGAUUCAUUGAAAGAAUUUCUUAUGUAUUCAUUAAAAUAAAAACAAAACCCAACCUCUGAAAAAACGUAUUUUCAUAUGCAAAUCAUUCAAUUGUAUUCACUUUUUUGGGCAGGCAGUCAAAAUAAUUUUGCGUCUGUGUUUUCAUUUUUGAUGUUCAUGGAUUUAUCAUGCAGACAUUUACAUUUGACUUUGUCCUUUACAAAUACAUUUUGAAUAAAAUGCUUAUGUGAAAAGGAUUGAAAAUGGAAUCUACCAAGAAUAUUUCUUUACUUGAGCUUUCUACCCAUAUUCCCCCACAUUUUUUGUUCAGUUGCAGUAAGUACCAUUUGCUCUUGAAAAUUAAUUUGCUAAUCUUAGAUGCCAACAAGUCAAUUUCUCAAAUGUUUCAUGUUUAAUUUGUCCUAAAGCUACCCAUUCCUGAUAAAAUCUGAGCUUUAAAAGAUUGAGUGGGUAUAUGGUCUGAAAUAGUGAGCAAAUUAAUACAGCAUUUGCUUCUGGGGUCUUUUAUGGAAAAUGAUGCUUAGUAGGCUGCUAGACCAAAUGGAAUGAUGUGUUAAUCAGUUUCUUCCAAGUCUACUUCUUUGCUAUCCAUAUUAGGACUGAAGUACCAUUUAAACUUUGGGAGGAGUUACAACCAGUUUCCUGCAUAUAUGGUAACCAUAUUUUCUGAACCAAAGAUUGGGAUGUUUGUAUACCCUGAAGAUGUUUUGGCACAUAGUCUGAUACUGGGUCAGAAUACUUAAAACCAUGUAUGCAAUGGGAAAUGCCCUACAUACUUUUCUUAAACCACAUUUUUCUUAAGUUGACCUAACGACCGAAAUAUUCUGGGAAUGCAUUUGCUUCUCUAUAAUAAAUUAGCUGAGAUGCCCCUUUUCAUUCAUUUGUUGGAUGAACAGAGUGACUUUUAUUUCAUUUAAAUAAGCAUCAUUCUAUUGCCUAGCAUGAUUAAUGUAAAAUGCAGAAACUAUUGAGUGGUAUAAUUAAUAUAAUUAAAGUAAUGCUGGUAGAUCCUUUUCUUUUGGAUCGUUUUCUUUUAGAUCGUUACUGUUCUAAAAAGUGCAACUAUAAUGCAAAGAGUUCACCAUCGUGGUAUGAUGGAGCCUGUGGGCAGAAGGCCAGCUAGUCUUCCACAAGAGAGAUAAUUAAGAGACAAUGGUACAGAAAUGCAUGUUGUAGCGUGCACGAAUGCUCCUGUGUGUUGACCUUACAGCUCCAAGCAACUCAGAGAAUGGCUUGGUUUUCAAAAUGACAAUUCCUCCCAGAUUCUAGAGGGAGGGGUGGAUACGAUUAUUCAGGUUUGCGCAAUUUCAAAAAGGUAAAACACCUCGUUUGGGGAACAGUGCCCUCUCCUUGGAGACCUGCUGGGAGACUAAAAUUUCAGGUGCGUCAAAAAUGCAGGACACAGAGAGGAAUUUGAAACACUUCCAGAAGGAAGCAAUUUCUAUUUUUCUGCAACACUUUUCAAUAACAGAAAGGCAAAGAGUGAGUGGAGAGAAAGGAAAUGGGAGAUCCCCUAACUGGAAGCUGUACAGUUCACCUAGAAGAUAGGCUGGGCUUAUUCUUCCCGUGGGAAGGAACCUCUUUGCAGUAAGCAUCUCAGUCAGUAAAGACUUUUUAUCCAAAG